GGGUUUUUUGUAAUCGCCCACGUAGCUUUUUUGGCGCGUGCGUUUGUGAUUACGGACCCUUUUAAUUGUUGGGUAUCUUUUUUUGCUCGAAAGAGUGAAGAAAGUGUGUCCAACACGUUUACUUUGAAAAAAUUAGAGUGUUCAAAGCAGUCGUUUUACGACCGAAUAGCUUAGCAUGGAAUAAUGGAAUAGGACUUUGGUUCUAUUUUGUUGGUUUCUAGGACCAGAGUA
rnacentral:rRNA from 1 species